AGGAGGAGGGGGCCCUUCUGCAGGGGCUGCUGCUGCUGCUGCUGGAGAACACAGAUGUUGUUGGGACUGGCCAGAAUCUUUGAAGCAGCUGCUGGAGAGAACCUGAAUGAGCUCAGCCCUUGCUCUGCAGACGUGGCAUCCCCAGACAAGCAUGUCGUCAUGUUUUAACACAAGCACUGCGUCGGGAGCGCUGUCUCUUUUAUUUCGAAAAAUGUUAUGGUGCCUCUCUGCCUAAGGCAGCUGACAAUUUUUAAAAAUUAAAUACGUUAAUUAAAAUCCAGAAUUACCAAAGCAAAA